GACGAACGCUGGCGGCGUGCCUAAUACAUGCAAGUCGAGCGAUGAAGGUUGGUACUUGUACCGACUGGAUGAGCAGCGGACGGGUGAGUAACGCGUGGAGAAUCUACCUUUGAGCGGGGGACAACAUUUGGAAACGAAUGCUAAUACCGCAUAAAAUCUUUAACCGCAAGGUUCAAGAGUGAAAGAUGCAAUUGCAUCACUUAAAGAUGAUCUCGCGUUGUAUUAACUAGUUGGUGAGGUAAAGGGCUACCAAGGCGAUGAUACAUAACCGACCGGAGAGGGUGAUCGGCCACAAUGGGACGGGAACACGGCCCCAAACCCUACGGGAGGCAGCAGUAGGGGAACCUCGGGAAAGGACGGAAGGCUGAACGGGCAACGCCGGGUGAGUGAAUGAGGUUUUCGGGUCGUAAAACUCUGGUGGUAGGGAAGGACGUAAGGUGGAGUUAAAAGCGCAUCAAUUGACGGUAACUACCCAGAAAGCGACGGCUAACUACGUG
rnacentral:rRNA from 1 species